CCAAAGGCAGAUGCUCAACCACUGGGCCAUCAAGGCAUCCCUGAAAAUACAUUUCUAAGAAAACUAACCAUGAAGUGUCUACCCAUCCAAAGAAAGGAUAAAGAAGGAAGGAGAAAAGAAGAAUCUAUCAACAGAAAGUACAGAAGGAAGAGGGGAAAAAGGGAGUGAGAAAAUCACACACUAAAAUUAAUGGUUAUACACAAGGACAAGGAUGUAGCUAACGGAAUACACCAAAAUAAAUGAAAAUACUUCUUUUGCAUCCAUGAAAUAUAUAUUCAUGCUAUCCUGGUGGUACAGUGUGUGAUUACUUUUCAAAUGUUAAAGAAAGGAUACAAGGAUUUGCACAGUAACAUAAUGAAGAGUUUGAUGUCAAUGAUUUGUGAGCAGAUCCUCUCAUCUUUCAAAGGUGCAUAUUUGUUUAACUUGGAGGCUGAAGAAGCAAAGGCAAAGAAAGUUCACUAAUUUGCACAAGAUCGCACAGAAAUUAUGAAGUGCCAAUUUGAAUCAGGAAAUCUGCAUCUACCAUGGUUAGAAUAUGCAUGAUUUAACUGAACCUCAUCUCCCAAUAUGCCUGUUCCAAAACAUACAUGUGCUCUUGGGCAGCUCAAAUGGCACUGGGAGCCUGGGACCCAACACAGAUAUAGGUGUCUGGAGCUACACACCGAUUAGAACUAUGCAGAGGCUCCUGGGUUUCCACCAAGGCAGCAGGGGCAUAAGGACAUGAUCUGGAAUCAAAGUUUCAGAAAUGGAAACAGUGUUGCUAUCUUUAAUUCUGGAGAUUUCAAGCAUUUAGUGCUCAUCUGAAGUGAAUCUGAGUGUUCUUCUUUUGUGUCAUGUUCCUUUUGUGUCAUUGAAUCAUGAAGAAAGAAUUGGGCUGGGGGAAGAAAUAAUUUCAGCAAGGUUGCUUGGGUAGAAAAGUAUUACAAUUUACUUUCAUUUGCUGAGGCUGCAUUAUCCCAGCUGUUGAGGCAAAGAAAGCUUGAGUCAGUAAGUUAAAUAUGAAAUAGUGUCUUGUUUGUUAAACUACAAUGAACUCCAGAAGGAGAAAAGAAAAACAGAAUACUCUUUUAGUAAGUCACCUAGGGAGAGAGGGCAAAAAGCUAUGUGUGAUAUUGUUAUUUAUAACUAGACAGAUAUAUUUGGUUUCCACUUGUUCCUGACAUACUUAGCAUUUCCUAAAUGAGGAGAGCAAUAAGGAUGUCUUUUGCUAUUCAUAACAAGACCCUUCCAACUACACUCAGUUUACGUUAAUGAGGUGACUUUUGGAAAGCCCCUAAGAAUGAGGGCUAGUUGUUAGGGGAGCCAACUGUAAUUUGAGGGGUGAACUUUUAGUCCUGACUCUGAACUCUGGGGAGGGGAGAGGCUGGAGGUUGAAUCAGUCACUAAUGGCCAAUGAUUCAGUCAAUCAUGCAUACAUAAUAAAGGUUCCAUACAUAACCCUGAACUAUGGUCUGGAGAGCUUCCUGGUAGAUAAACAUGGGGGGGGGGUAGAUAUUGAGAGGGUAUAAUCCCUGGAAAGGGCUUGGAAGGGCUGUACUCCUUCCCACACACCUUUGCCCUUUGCAUUUAUCCCAUCUAGCUGUUUCUUGAGUAAUAUAUGUAUUUUGUAAUUAUUUUUUUUCUCUCUUGCUUUACUGAGGGAUAACUGAUAUAUACAGUUGUCUAUAAAGUAUACACUGUGAUUUGAUACAUGUCCCCUCUGUGAAAUGAUUACCACCAUCAGGUUAAUUAACAUAUUUAUUACCUCACAUAAUUAUUAUCUCUGUGUGUGUGGGUGGUGGUGGUGGUGAGAAUGCUUAAGACCUACUCUCUUAGCAAAUUUCAAAUAUAUGGUGCAAUAUUAUGAACUACAGUCACUAUGUUGUACAUUGGAUCCUAAGAAGUUAUUCAGCUUAAAACUGAAAGCUUGAAUUACCAUCCUUUCAUAUGCAAUCAGUUAUCUAGUAAGUAAAAGGUUUCCCUGAGUUCUGUGAAAUGUUUUAGCAAAUCAAUCAAUUCAAGGAGGGCAUUGUGGGAAUCUCUCAUAUAUAGCUGGUUGCUCAGAAGUACAGGUAUCAACCUGGACUUGUGAUGAAUGUCUGAAGUGGAUGGGGUGGGAGGCAGUCCUUAGGAAUGGCCCCUUAACCUGUGUGAUCUGAUACUAUCUCCAGGUACAUUGUGUCAGGAUUGAGUUGAACUGUAGGACACCUCACUGGUAUCAUUAUUACAUGGUAUAGGGGAACCCAAACACCUUUGGUGACCAGAAUGGCAGAAAUGAAGUGGUAUUACAGUCAUAAGGGUAGAAGCGAGACACAGAAGUGUACUUUUCUUUUAGACAACAUCUUUUCUUUUAUACAAAAUUAUGAAUAGACAGGCAUGUGUCAUUUAAGAAAGAGAAUACUGUGUGCAAGAUGUAGCCCACUCAGAUGGGGAUAAACCUCAUUAAGAUCCUGUUCUCUAAGAGGUCUUAAUGAUUUGUUUUUGUACAAGCAGUGUAAUCUUAACUGUAAAGACUAAUUGUCCAUAUAUUUAUCUUUAACAAGUACUGUACUGAAGAGUCUUGUUCAUUUAAAAAGAGGAAGGUUUUUGAGAGUGAUUAAAUGUACACUGUGAGAUUAAAACGCUGCAUAAUUAAAUAAGUAACAAGUGAUGCCAACUGUCAAGUUUCAAGGUGGAUGUAACUUCCUUAAAAAGCUUUCCCCAGCUCCACAAGACCAAGUUAAAUUUCCCUCCUAUGUAUUAGCAUUGUACCCAUAGGAGCACUUGACACUCAUUAUGUGACCAUUUGUAGGUCUCCUCCACCAAAUGACAGAAACCAUUACAACAUUAUAUGCCCAGUACUUAGUACAUCACCUAUAGGACAGUAAGAAUAAAGUAAAUAUUUUUUAAAUAAGAGACACUAUCAGUAUUAUUUUUUCAAUCUUUUCUUGCUGGAGAAUUGGAAAAAAUGCCCAUCUAACAAAAAUACCUUUAUUAUAGACUCACUGACUUCUUCUUUGAAAGUGUGUGUUUUGCAUUGUUUAUAGA